GAUGAACGCUGGCGGCGUGCCGAAUACAUGUGAGUCGGGCGAACGGACGAGAAGCUUGCUUUUCUGAUGUUAGCGGCGGACGGGUGAUUAACACGUGGAUAACCUACGUAUAAGACUGGGAUAACUUCGGGAAACCGGAGCUAAUAGCGGAUAAUGUUUUGAACGGCAUGGUUCAAGAGUGAAAGACGGUCUUGCUGUCACUUAUAGAUGGAUCCGCGCUGCAUUAGCUAGUUGGUAAGGUAACGGCUUACCAAGGCAACGAUGCAUAGCCGACCUGAGAGGGUGCCAGGCCACCCUGGAACUGAGAAAAGGUUCAGACUCCUACGGGAGGCAGCAGUAGGGAAUCUUCCGCCAUGGGCGCAAGCCCGACGGAGCAACGCCGCGUGAGUCAUGAAGGUCCUCGGCUCGUAACACUCUGUUAUCCGGGACGAACAUAUGUGUAAGUACCUGUGCACAUCUUGACGGUCCCUAAUCAGAAAGCCAGGGCUACCUACGUG
rnacentral:rRNA from 1 species